GACGAACGCUGGCGGCGUGCUUAACACAUGCAAGUCGAGCGGUAAGGCCCCUUCGGGGGUACACGAGCGGCGAACGGGUGAGUAACACGUGGGUGACCUGCCCUCAGCUCUGGGAUAAGCCCGGGAAACUGGGUCUAAUACCGGAUAUGACUCCAUGACGCAUGUUGUGGGGUGGAAAGCCUUGUGCGGCUGAGGAUGGGCCCGCGGCCUAUCAGCUUGUUGGUGGGGUGAUGGCCACCAAGGCGACGACGGGUAGCCGGCCUGAGAGGGCGACCGGCCACACUGGGACUGAGAUACGGCCCAGACUCCUACGGGAGGCAGCAGUGGGGAAUCUUGCGCAAUGGGCGAAAGCCUGACGCAGCGACGCCGCGUGAGGGAUGACGGCCU
rnacentral:rRNA from 1 species